GCCCUCUGGCCGAACCCCAGCCCGUUACUGGCUCUCUGAAGUCUUCCGCGUCGAGCCCGCCUACUCCCGCAUUCCGGUUCGUCCAGAACCGAUGGAUCCCUGGUCGACCAGAUCUCCCGCCAUGGCUUCUGAUACUCAAGCUCAUCCCCGUCAAGAGAUGAUUCUAAAAGGAGCGCCCUGCAUUUCUUUCACUAAUGAUGCAUCAGCCAGAUGAUCUGCAUUGAUCUUCUGCAGAUGGGCCUCAGCCCGCUCGUCGUGAGCAUCUUCGCCGCCUAGAGCGCGGUGGGCCGCUAUCCGUCGCCGCCUCCCCUCAGCAUUUGCUUCUUUCCGGAUAGGAUCACGAAGUGUUGAUGUGAGAUACGAC